AGGGCCUCCGACACACAAAAGAAACCUAAAUUCUUCGAUGCAAUUGAAAAAUUCUAGGUUCGAAUAAUCAUUCGUACAAGCCACCGUACGUGAGUGAUUCUUUAUCAACAAUACAAAAUCCCAGCAAGUUUCAAGAAACAAAAAAGAACGAUGCAUUAACUGAUCAAGAAACCUCGAAAACAGGAAAGGGUGAGAAACAAGGAACAUCAAAGCAAACGGAUGAAGAUAGUACUUCUCGUAUUUCAGAUGAUGAUAUUUACUGCGACAGCCUGGAUGAGAAAUCAUCAAAUGAUGGAAAACCAAGAAAAAAUAUAAGAAAACCUAGCAAAGCUACAAAAGCAGAUAAAGUCUUGGAAGUUUUCAAAGACAUGAGAAAUCACAGCAAUCAACGUCAUCUUGAAGAAAAACUUGAAAGGCAAAAUAGACACAAAGAGCGAAUGGAGAAAAGUCAACAAAUGAUGGAUGUCAUGAAAAGCUUGAUUUCAAUUGCGUCAAAAAAGAAAAAGAAAACAAGGAAGUCGUCUAAAAAUAAGUCUCCAAAGAAGCGGAGAAAUUCAAGUCCAUCUCGGGAAAAUAUUGGAUCCAAAAAGAGGAGCCGAUCUCCUUCUUCGUCGAAAGAAUCAACAUCGUCUAGUGAUGAACAUACCUUUUCAUCGUUUUAGGACCAAACUGAUCAUAUUCAGAAGCUUCGUUGAUAAUUAUACUUCUUUUGAUUAUUUAUUGACGCAUGGUUUCUCUUCAUCGAUAUCAAUUUUAUUGUAACUCGGAGUUCCUCUGUUAACGUGGAUGUUGUUUUGUGAUGUUACCGUGUUUGUAUGAUAAAAAUUGUA